CUUGUACUCCCUCCGUUCCGAAUUACUUGUCGCAAGUAUGGAUGUAUCUAGAUGUAUUUUAGUUCUAGAUACAUCCAUUUCUGCAACGAGUAAUUUGGAACGGAGGGAGUAGAAG
rnacentral:pre_miRNA from 1 species